rfam:Schistosoma rodhaini strain Burundi genome assembly, scaffold: SROB_scaffold0000429
AUCCAACUGACAAGUCCCAAAUAAAACGAAGUGAGCGUCCUGGAU